UACGUAGGGGGCAAGCGUUGUCCGGAAUCAUUGGGCGUAAAGAGCGCGUAGGCGGCCCGAUAAGUCCGCUGUGAAAGUCAAGGGCUCAACCCUUGAAUGCCGGUGGAUACUGUCGGGCUAGAGUCCGGAAGAGGCGAGUGGAAUUCCUGGUGUAGCGGUGAAAUGCGCAGAUAUCCGGAGGAACACCAGUGGCGAAAGCGGCCACCUGGACUGCACCUGACGCUGACACGCGAAAGCUAGGGGAGCGAACGGG
rnacentral:rRNA from 1 species